GAUGAACGCUGGCGGCGUGCCUAAUACAUGCAAGUCGAGCGAACGGACGAGAAGCUUGCUUUUCUGAUGUUAGCGGCGGACGGGUGUGUAACACGUGGAUAACCUACCUAUAAGACUGGGAUAACUUCGGGAAACCGGAGCUAAUACCGGAUAAUAUUUUGAACCGCAUGGUUCAAAAGUGAAAGACGGUCUUGCUGUCACUUAUAGAUGGAUCCGCGCUGCAUUAGCUAGUUGGUAAGGUAACGGCUUACCAAGGCAACGAUGCAUAGCCGACCUGAGAGGGUGAUCGGCCACACUGGAACUGAGACACGGUCCAGACUCCUACGGGAGGCAGCAGUAGGGAAUCUUCCGCAAUGGGCGAAAGCCUGACGGAGCAACGCCGCGUGAGUGAUGAAGGUCUUCGGAUCGUAAAACUCUGUUAUUAGGGAAGAACAUAUGUGUAAGUAACUGUGCACAUCUUGACGGUACCUAAUCAGAAAGCCACGGCUAACUACGUG
rnacentral:rRNA from 1 species